rnacentral:rRNA from 1 species
UGAGGAAUAUUGGGCAAUGCCCGCAAGGGUGACCCAGCAACGCCGCGUGGAGGAUGAAUGUCGUAAGAUUGUAAACUCCCGUUAGAGGGGAAGAAUAGUACCGGUUGGACCGGUAUAUGACUGUACCCUCAGAGAAAGCCCCGGCUAACUACGUGCCAGCAGCCGCGGUAAUACGUAGGGGGCAAGCGUUGUCCGGAUUUACUGGGUGUAAAGGGCGCGCAGGCGGGAUAAAAAGUCAGUGGUGAAAUCCUACAGCUUAACUGUAGAACUGCCUUUGAUACUUUUAUUCUUGAGUUCGGGAGAGAGAGACGGAAUUCCAGGUGUAGUGGUGAAAUACGUAGAUAUCUGGAAGAACACCAGUUGCGAAGGCGGUCUCUUGGUCCGACACUGACGCUGAGGCGCGAAAGCGUGGGGAGCAAACA